GUGAAGAAGGCAAAGAUCAGAGAGAGAAGGAAAGAAAGAAAAUCAAUGGCGUCGGCAGUGGGAUGAGGUGCGGUGGUGCCAUUCUGGAGAGCAGCGAGGAUGAUGUACAUAUCCUACUCGAACAUCUGCGCGAAUCUGGUGAGGAACUGCCUCAAGGAGCCAUUCAAAUCCGAAGCCCUCACUUGCUAGAAUGUCCAUUUCUCCAUUUCCAAAUGGGAUAAUGGCGUUCCCCAGAAGCCCAGUUUGAGAUAGAGGUGUUGGCAAUUUUGGGGUCUCUUUAGAGGAGCAAUGCUUGAAGAUUAAUGCUAGAGAUAUGGUAUCCAAGAAAUAUAGCAAAAAAAGAAAAAGAUGAUGAAGAAUUAGAGACCCUCUUACGAAGAUAGUAUUGUACUUUUUAAUUUAAGUUUGUAUAUUAUCUUAAUUGAAUGUUUGUAAUUAAUUUUUUUUUGUAUAUAUAAA